AGUAACUGAAAGAGAAGAAAAACAUUAAUUAUCUUGCCAGCAGUGUUUGUUUGUGUGUACGUGUGUGUGUCUUGUAUCAGAUUAAGUAGUGUAUCAUGGAUCUCAAAUAAUGUAGGUAAGAUAUAUCACAUCAUUUUAACAAACAAACAAACAAACAAACUGAGAGAGAGAGAGAGAGAAAUUGAAUAUAUAGAUGGAUAAUUUGAUACAUACAUACAUACACACACUAGAUUAAGAUAUUAUUAUUUUAAACGCACCUCUUCUUCCUCUUCCUCCUCCUCCUCUUCCUUAUGGCCUUCCUCUGUGUGUCCUCUCCUCUUUCUGACACACAAACUGGAAGAGAGAGAAUAAAAUUAAUAAAACCAAUAAAUAAAUAAAUAAAUAAAUAAAUAAAUAAAUAAAUAAAUAAAUAAAUAAAUAAAUAAAUAAACAAACAAACAAACAAAGCCAACCCUUUAUCAACUAGGUGUUCAGACAAAUGCCUCUUAGAUCAGCUGCAUACAGGUGACAGGUGUGGGUUGGGAGGGGCUGCCACAGAACGCAGCACUGCCCCCCCGCCCCCACACCCUCACCUGUAUUCUGACUCGUCAUCUGCUCAUCCCCACACCUGUACGUCACUAAUUAGACAGAAUAACUACUUAAUUUACCUGUACAAAUGUUUAAUUAAUCCCUAGUCUUAUAAUUUAAUCUGUAGAAUUAACUGUGCAGUCUUAAUUAACCUGUAAAAUCUCUUAAUUAACUUAAUUAACUUUUAAAAUACCUAUAGAAUUAACUGUAUACUCUUAAUUAACCUGAAAUAUCUCUUAAUUAAUUUAUACAGCCUUAAUUAACCUGUAUAAAUGAUUAAUUAACAUGUAAAGGCUUCAACUCACCUGUACAGCACAUAAUUCACUUGUAAAUGGCGGCCAGGUUAACGAGGUUCAUAUUUUCUUCAGCUGUGGAGGAAAGGUUUGGGAAUCAGUGCUUGAGUGGUAAAGAUCUCUCUCUCUCUC